GGAGGAAAUAUGAUAUGGAAAACCGAGCCAAGGCAUCUCAAGCAUGGAUGGAGUGGCUAAUGAAAAAACGCAAGGCGUUUGAUCAAAGGGGUGACAUGGCGAUUGCCGCUUGCUUGGGCUGAACAGCAGCAGCGCGAAUUAAAUAUCCGUCUCUCUCGCUCAAAGGUUGAUCCCGAUGAGGAAAGAAGAAUUCUUGCAAAAGAGAAAAAAGCGUCAAUUGAGAAUCAUACCAACACUUUGAAAAGGCAUACACUUGUGUUGAGGAAAAGGGAUUUAUUGAGAAAGAAAGCGGAGGAAGAGAAGAAAAAACUCCUGAUUACUCAAACGAAGAUGAUAAAACGUCAUAAGCCAUAUUUGCAAUCGCAUUUCGAUGUUUGAUAUUAUGUUUAUAGAAUGUAAAUUGGUUAAGUUUAUAAUUUGUUGUAUUGCUUGACAGCAUGUAUAUAUAUAUGGCUUUAAAGAUACAAUACAAGAUACUUUAUGAAGGGCAGAAAUGUUUGUUUCCCUUCACCUUUUUCGAUUGAAAAACCAUUU
rnacentral:lncRNA from 1 species